rnacentral:rRNA from 1 species
AUUGAACGCUGGCGGCAUGCCUUACACAUGCAAGUCGAACGGUAACAGGUCUUCGGAUGCUGACGAGUGGCGCACGGGUGAGUAAUACAUCGGAACGUGCCCGAUCGUGGGGGAUAACGAGGCGAAAGCUUUGCUAAUACCGCAUACGAUCUACGGAUGAAAGCGGGGGAUCUUCGGACCUCGCGCGGACGGAGCGGCCGAGGGCAGAUUAGGUAGUUGGUGGGAUAAAAGCUUACCAAGCCGACGAUCUGUAGCUGGUCUGAGAGGAUGAUCAGCCACACUGGGACUGAGACACGGCCCAGACUCCUACGGGAGGCAGCAGUGGGGAAUUUUGGACAAUGGGCGAAAGCCUGAUCCAGCCAUGCCGCGUGCAGGAUGAAGGCCUUCGGGUUGUAAACUGCUUUUGUACGGAACGAAAAGCCUCUUUCUAAUAAAGAGGGGUCAUGACGGUACCGUAAGAAUAAGCACCGGCUAACUACGUG